ACGGGUGAGUAACACGUAUGCAAUCCACCUGUAACAGGGGGAUAACCCGGAGAAAUCCGGACUAAUACCCCAUAAUAUGGGCGCUCCGCAUGGAGAGCCCAUUAAAGAGAGCAAUUUUGGUUACAGACGAGCAUGCGCUCCAUUAGCCAGUUGGCGGGGUAACGGCCCACCUAGUCUUCGAUGGAUAGGGGUUCUGAGAGGAAGGUCCCCCACACUGGAACUGAGACACGGUCCAG
rnacentral:rRNA from 1 species